GGGAAACUUACCAGGUCCAGACAUAUUAAGGAUUGACAGAUUGAUAGCUCUUUCUUGAUUAUAUGGGUGGUGGUGCAUGGCCGUUCUUAGUUGGUGGAGUGAUUUGUCUGGUUAAUUCCGUUAACGAACGAGACCUUAUCCUGCUAAAUAGUGCUUGGAAAUACUUUCUAUGCCACUUCUUAGAGGGACUUCGUGUGUCUAACACGAGGAAGCUUGAGGCAAUAA
rnacentral:rRNA from 1 species